rnacentral:rRNA from 1 species
GACGAACGCUGGCGGCGUGCUUAACACAUGCAAGUCGAGCGGUAAGGCCCUUUCGGGGGUACACGAGCGGCGAACGGGUGAGUAACACGUGGGUGACCUGCCCUCAGCUCUGGGAUAAGCCUGGGAAACUGGGUCUAAUACCGGAUAUGACUCCAUGACGCAUGUUGUGGGGUGGAAAGCCUUGUGCGGCUGAGGAUGGGCCCGCGGCCUAUCAGCUUGUUGGUGGGGUGANGGCCUACCAAGGCGACGACGGGUAGCCGGCCUGAGAGGGCGACCGGCCACACUGGGACUGAGACACGGCCCAGACUCCUACGGGAGGCAGCAGUGGGGAAUCUUGCGCAAUGGGCGAAAGCCUGACGCAGCGACGCCGCGUGAGGGAUGACGGCC